AAAACAUUAAAGGGACAGUCCUUUUACCUUGUCACUAUAAAUCGCUAUUUUCUGCAGUAAACGAGACAUUUUCAGAGAUUUUCUGUAGACAAGAUGUUAUAGAAUAAUAAUUAAAAAAGACUUAUUUAGAUAUUUAUAUAUAAUAUAACAACUAAUAUAUAUAUAUAUAUAUAUAUAUAUAUAUAAUGUUUUACAACUGACUUAACACUUACAGUAAUGUUUUAUUUGUUAGCAUAGCAUGAUAUUAGAUUUAAACACUUAAUACAUUUUUAAAUCAAUCACUUUGUCUCUGCACAAUGAACAUUAUCAAAUAUUAUUAAUGUUGUAAAAUAUAUUGUUCAUUGUUAGUUCAUAUUAGCUAAGGCAUUACCAAAUGUUAAGGAAUAAACUCUUAUAGUAAAGUGUUACUAAGUUUUCUUUUACCAUUUCCUUCACAAUGUCUACUUAUUUCUAUGGCUAACAGAUUUUGUAACAUUUGUCUUUUUUACAGUCUUACCAUUGCUUGUAAGUCGGAUUGGGUAAGAUGGAUCAUCUUUAAAGGCACCAGGCAAGUACAUGAUGUACAGUUACAAGUCAUGUAUUUUUUGACUGCAAUAUUAAAUGCUUUCACGUCACAUGUAAAAGUACACAGGAAUGUGCUGAUCACUUUUUAUUUGUAGUUUACAUGAGUGUCAUUGCACUUUUCAGGAGUUAAGGCAGAUGUGGAGGCACAACGGGUGACACCAGACACACACCAAGCACAUUGUUCGGUAAGUUUGCACUUUACCACUACAGUUUCUUUAAAUACCCAUGUAUACACUCAUUCACAAUUCCCACACACAACACUGUAACACGACCAUACACAACAUGUACACAAUUGUCUUAGUUUGCCAUGUAGAAAUAUACAAACAGAAAUAUUCAGACUUUGGUUAUAAGAAAUUUAAUUUAAUAAUUGUAUUUAUUUAGCAGAGGUGUCCCUGGACUUUAUUGACAAAAGAUUUUGUUUUCAGAAUAAAAAGUUGUGUCCAAAUCAGUAACAAUUGUACUUUCUGUUCAGGACAUUCAAUCAUGACAGGAUCCAUGUGGAUGCUGUCCAUUGAGGAAAGAGUUUGUUCAGCGGUUUCUGGAUAGAAUUAAUUCCAAAGAUGGGAAAAAGUGCACAUCCAGACAAGGAGCAAGCAAAAAGACAAGGAACUUGGUGCAGAGAAAAGCUGUGGCGAUUAACCCCCAUGUGAACAGCUUCAUGCAGUCCCUGAUUGAGUUCGAAUGGACGACUUCAAAGUAAAGGCCACUGUGGUCUGUCUGCCACAGUUUAAUGCAUUUAUUUUUAGUGUUAAAUGAAAUUCAAGUAGAAUAUUUAAAACUAUGGGCCAGUGUUCUUUUUACCACAGUGAAAUGUUACCUUUUAGUCGAUGAUGGACUUUAAACUGAAAACUUCAAACUAUGGAAGAGUGUUCUAUUUGCCAGAGUUAAAUAUGUUACAGCAGGGGUCUCCAAACUUGUUUAUACUUGUUGAUUUUAUUUUAUGUUACUUGAUUAUAUGUUUAUUAUUGUUUAAAAUCUUGUUUUAAAUAUGUUUUGUUUCGAUUAAAUGUUUUUUAAAUAAAAUUUUGAUACAAACA